GACUGAAUCAAUAUACAAAGGAACAAAGAAAGCCAAGAGUGCUUCUCGAGUUUCAAGCUUUGAUACCUAUGGAAAUCAUUAACCAGGCAAACGGAAGUAUGGGCUCUUGGAGGAAAGAUUAGUUCGCCUUUGCACAUGCUGAACUGGAAGUACUUACUGGUUACACAGCUAGAAAUUUCCAGGGACAACUGUAAAUUCACAUCUGGCACUCAAAAGAGCUGAGUCAGCGUUUGAGUCAUCUGACAGGAUAUCACACAGCUGUCCUCCCUGUUGGCUGUUGCGGCUUGAAUCUGGUCCAUAUGGUAAAAAGAAAGUGGGAAGAAACCCAGUGCACACACAUCCCUAACUGAAUCACAGCACCCGUCUUCCGGUUGGCAGACACUGCUCACUACAGCUGCCCUACGGCUUUGAUGACAUCACUCCUUCUCUGAGACAAACUAGCGCAGAGCAAAAAGCCUGAAGUUUGAAGCAUCAAACCAGAUUCAAUUCUAGGCUUCCUGUGUUAAUCAGUGUACUAAAUAUUACUGAGGCAAUUUCACUCACAGAUAGGAUCAAGUCAGAAUUCACUCUAAGAAAAGCAUAAAAAAUUGCAAAAGAAGCCAUUGCACGAGUCACCCGUCUGGAGACUUUCUCUAAAAUGCAAACAGGUCAGAUAAGUACACUAAUGUCGUAAUGGUAAUUUGACCAUAUAUAACUCUGAAAACAUAUGGACACUCUUAGAGUAAAUUAACUGAUAGACAUAAUUUAACCCCUAAGACAUCCAGCAUAAAAUUAUCUGUAAAAAAAACCCAAUUGUUAGAAAUCAUUCAAGUCUAAAGAAUG